rnacentral:lncRNA from 1 species
AGGUUAUGGGGUGCCAGCUGAACCUGCAGGCCCUGCUGUUAUGGGGCAGCUAUGGGGCACUUAUGGGCCCUUAUGGGGCAGGUGGUUAUGGGGUGGUUAUGGGGUGGCUAUGGGGCACUUAUGGGGCCGCCCCACACUCUAUAAGGCAGCGUCCAGAGGCUCGGAGCGGGGCUGGCAGGCGCUGCAUCUGCUGGCCCUGCUGCUAUGGGAUGGCUGUGGGGACCUUAUGGGGUGGCUAUGGGGCACUUAUGGGGCCGCCCCACUCUAUAGGGCAGCAUCUGGAGGCUCGGAGCGCGGCUGGCGGGCGCUGAAGCUGCUGGCGCUGCUGUUAUUGGGCAGCUAUGGGGCACUUGUAGGGCACUUAUGGGGCAGGUGGCUAUGGGGCGGCCAUGGGGCACUUAUGGGGCCGCCCCACUCUCUACAGCACAGCGUCCGGAGGCUCGGAGCGCGGCUGGCGGGCGCUGAAGCUGCUGGCGCUGCUGUACCUGGCGGCGCUGCUGGGCUGCACGGCGCUGCUGAACUUCUCGCUGGGUUUCAUCAUGGCCGCCACCAUGGUGCCCGCCGC